CCUACGGGGGGCAGCAGUGGGGAAUAUUGGACAAUGGGGGCAACCCUGAUCCAGCCAUGCCGCGUGUGUGAAGAAGGCCCUCGGGUUGUAAAGCACUUUCAGUGAGGAAGAACGCCUGGUGGUUAUUACCCAUCAGGAAAGACAUCACUCACAGAAGAAGCACCGGCUAACUCCGUGCCAGCAGCCGCGGUAAUACGGAGGGUGCGAGCGUUAAUCGGAAUUACUGGGCGUAAAGCGCGCGUAGGUGGCUUGAUAAGCCGGUUGUGAAAGCCCCGGGCUCAACCUGGGAACGGCAUCCGGAACUGUCAAGCUAGAGUGCAGGAGAGGAAGGUAGAAUUCCCGGUGUAGCGGUGAAAUGCGUAGAGAUCGGGAGGAAUACCAGUGGCGAAGGCGGCCUUCUGGACUGACACUGACACUGAGGUGCGAAAGCGUGGGUAGCAAACAGGAUUAGAUACCCCGGUAGUC
rnacentral:rRNA from 1 species